ensembl:lncRNA
CUUAUGUACACUAAAGUCAGUGGUGUCACGUGGAAAGCAAGUGCACAGAGUGAGAGGGUGAUCACGUGUAAAUUCAUUUUUAUAUCAUUCUUAUUUUAUCGGCAUUGUUUUGUACAGGGAGAGUUGACUGAGCAUGCAUGCUCUAUUUCAGCAACGUCCUCACACACAGGUUGGAAGCUGGAACUGGGAGCCACCAGUACAAACCUUGGCAACGGACUGGUUUAUGAGUGGCUCCACUGGAACGGUUGGGGGUUAUGUGCCUUGCUCAAGGGCAAAAAGAAAGUCAGAGUGUUUAUCUUAUGAUUUUUUCCCUCCAUCUUGGUUGUUCUAGUCAUUGUAAAGAUACAAAUGGGCAACUAAUGUGUACUUCUGUGCUCCUUUUGGUGUCCUACUUUCUUUUUUACAAAUAUUUUUCUCAUUUUUUAUGCUCUAUAUAUCUAUUCAGAAUUGCUCUUUAAUUUCGUACUUUCUAUAGUCUAGCCUAUAUUUUUGUUCUUUCCUCUCUCUUUUUUUGUUUCUCUCCCAUCUUCAUUUUGACUUCAUUUCCUUGUAGAAAAUGCAUUGAUCUUUUCCUUUCUUAACAUUGCCAACGUAGCCUAAUAAUCAGUGUUUUUUAAUGUUCUGAGUAGUGUAUAACUGUAGGCGAUAGAAUUUAUAUUAAUCUAUUUAUUUUGGUGGUGGUAUGUAUAGAUAUUCUUAAUGUUCUAUUGUUUCAGAGUUCUUACACCUGUACCUUUGGGCUGAAAAAGGCUUCAUGCCUGCCUGUGACACACGGUCAGUAGCCUAAGUGCUGGAAAAGUGAGCUAAAUGUGGUCUGUGUUGGUGCUGUCAGUGUUUUUUUUACUCAGUAAACAUAAAGUGCAACAAGAUGCAUCUGCCUCAUGCUUUAGAAAAUGUGUGCAGCACUAAAUGAACACUGACACGUGUCCUAAACGUUCAGCUUUUGUGAGAUCAUGGUCAAAAGCAGACGUUCUGUUCUUUCGUUUUCAACUCAUGUCCCAAUGUGAAAGCCAUUUAAAAGCCAGCAUGAGUCACCAGGUUCUUUUCCCAACACUUGGGUAACUGACACAAGUCAAACCGGAAACUUUUCAAAUGGAAAACUCAGCAGACUGAUACACGUAAGGGACAAUAAGGCAAAGGGGAAGCAAUACAAUACAAUAUACUGAUCCUCACUGGAAAAGACAAAAAGUUGAAGGUAUAUAUACAUAUAUAAAAAUAUAGAUAUAUUCAAUAAAGUUCUCUAUGAAAA